rnacentral:tRNA from 1 species
AUAUAGCUCAGCGGUAGAGCACUUGCCUAGCAUGUUUUACAAAGCCCUGGGUUCAAUCCCCAGUAU